GAUGAACGCUAGCUACAGGCUUAACACAUGCAAGUCGAGGGACCGGCGCACGGGGGAGUAACACGUAUCCAACCUGCCCUUUACUCGGGGAUAGCCUUUCGAAAGAAAGAUUAAUACCCGAUAUAAAGGAUGGGGAUGCGUUCCAUUAGGUUGUUGGUGAGGUAACGGCUCACCUAGGCGACGAUCCCUAGCUGGUCGGAGAGGAUGACCAGCCACACUGGAACUGAGACACGGUCCAAACUCCUACGGGAGGCAGCAGUGAGGAAUAUUGGUCAAUGGGCGUUAGCCUGAACCAGCCAAGUAGCGUGAAGGAUGAAGGCUUAUGGGUCGUAAACUUCUUUUAUAUAAGAAUAUGUAUUAUAUGAAUAAGGAUCGGCUAACUCCGUGCCAGCAGCCGCGGUAAUAC
rnacentral:rRNA from 1 species